rnacentral:rRNA from 1 species
GAUAAACGCUGGCGGCGUGCCUAACACAUGCAAGUCGAACGCCCUUUUGCGCAAGUGAGAGGGAGUGGCGGACGGGUGAGUACCACGUGGGUACCUACCUUGAGGUGAGGAAUACCACCGAGAAAUCGGUGACAAGACCGCAUACGCUUGGCAACAAGCAAAGUCUCGCAAGAGACGCCACAAGAUGGGCCUGCGCCUGAUUAGCUAGUUGGUGAGGUAAUGGCNCACCAAGGCGACGAUCAGUAGCUGGUCUGAGAGGAUGAUCAGCCACACUGGGAUUGAGAACGGCCCAGACUCCUACGGGGGGCAGCAGUGAGGAAUUUUCGUCAAUGGGGGCAACCCUGAACGAGCAACGCCGCGUGCAGGACGACACUUUUCGGAGC